UCUCUCGAGUGCGUCCGGAGAAGACAAGC
rnacentral:piRNA from 1 species